AGUCGACUCAAUCUAGCAAACUCGGCCCAUUCCUUUGCAACAGGAACCCUAGUGGCCUUGCAGAAACCCUUCUCUGUCACCAUCUCUUUCUCUGCAAAUCAAUGCUCCAUUCAUUAAUCUGGACUUUAUGUUCGUCUUCUGUAGGCUCUUUACUUCCAGAAUGACCAAUACCCUAAUCAGAAACUUUCUUUUUCAGGUACAAAAACGUUUUCUGCAAGCAUCUACAAUACCCUUCUCUUCCACUUCUCCAUUGCCCACCACCACCACUUCCUCUUCGUCAUUUACGGUUCAAUACCUUGUGAACUCAUGUGGGCUUCCCUUAGAAUCUGCUGUAUCUGCCUCCCAGAAGUUUCAGCUCGAGAAGAAUAAGGUACAAAAAGCUCAAUCCGUAUUGGAAGUCUUGAAAGCUCACAACUUUAGCGAUACCCAUGUGGCCAAAUUGAUUGCAAAGUGGCCUUCAGUCCUCCAAUGCAGGGUAAGAGGCAAUCUCCAGCCUAAAUUUGAGUACCUCAUGAAAAAUGGCUUUGUGGGUGAGCUUCUGCCUGAGCUUAUCGUGUUAAAUCGGACAAUUUUGAAAAGGGGUUUAGAUACUCAUAUCAAACCAUCUUUUGAGUUCUUGAGAUCUUAUCUUAAUGAUAAUGAUAAAAUUGUAGCGGCUAUUAAGCGUGCUUCUUGGUUGUUGACGCAUGAUUUGAAGGGUAGAAUGCAACCAAAUAUGGAUUUCUUAAUAAAAGAAGGCGUGCCUCCUCAUUGCCUAGAAAAAUUUAUUACGUUGCAGCCAAGGGCUAUAAUGCAAAAGAAGCAUAGGAUA
rnacentral:misc_RNA from 1 species